rnacentral:rRNA from 1 species
UUAGGAAUUUUGCGCAAUGGACGAAAGUCUGACGCAGCGACACCGCGUGAAGGAUGAAGAUCUUCGGGUUGUAAACUUCUUUUGCAUUGGCACAUGCCUUUGCGAAUAAGCAGCUACUAACUACGUGCCAGCAGUCGCGGUAAUACGUAGGCUGCAAGCGUUACCCGGUUUUACUGGGCGUAAAGCGUCUGUAGGCGGUCAAACAAGUCCUGUUUCAAAGACCCCGGCUCACCCGGGGAAAGGGCCGGAUACUGUUUGGCUUGAGUGAUAUCGGGGUUACUGGAAUUGACCGUGUAGGGGUAAAAUCCGUGGAUACGGUUAAGAACACCAAGCGCGAAGGCGGGUAACCAGGUAUUAACUGACGCUGAGAGACUAAAGCUAGGGUAGCCAAUCAGAUUAG